UACGUAGGGGGCAAGCGUUGUCCGGAAUCAUUGGGCGUAAAGGGCGCGUAGGCGGCCUGCUAAGUCGAACGUGAAAUCCCUGGGCUCAACCCAGGAACUGCGUCCGAUACUGGUUGGCUUGAAUUCGGGAGAGGGAUGCAGAAUUCCAGGUGUAGCGGUGAAAUGCGUAGAUAUCUGGAGGAAUACCGGUGGCGAAGGCGGCAUCCUGGACCGAGAUUGACGCUGAUGAGCGAAAGCUAGGGGAGCAAACGGG
rnacentral:rRNA from 1 species